AUGGAAAUGAUAUUGAGUAACCGUUGGCUAUUAUUGUUGCUGUUGUUGUUGUUGUAGUUUAGCCGCGGGUCAGCCCAGAUUCAGCAGGCCACAAUGGUCAACGGCGUUUCAGAAAUGACCAACGCAUCGAUUAAGGCAAGGUCAACAAUUUUGAUGAGAGAGGCAACACGAUUACAUUCGGUCCACUUUACUGGAACUUGUUUUAUGGACCGCAAAAGGCAAAGGCGACUCAGAACGUAAAAACGGACGAAAUGUCGCUUAGCGUUUUACCCGGCAUGCUAACGAUUCAGCUCGUCACCUUAAAAUAACGACGACAUAAGAUUAAUAAUCUUUUCUACUCUAGGCACAAGGCCCGAAAUCUUUAGGGAGGGGGCCAGUCGAUUAGAUCGACCCCCAUACGCAAUUGGUACUUAUUUAAUCGACCCCGAAAGGAUAAAAGGCAAAGUCGACCGCGGCGAAAUUUGAACUCAGAGCGUAAAGACGAACGAAACGCCACUAAGCGUUUUGCCCAACAGCAUAAAACUAAUAAUGAUAAUGUUUUAACAUGAA